CAGGUGCAAAGAAAAUAAGAAGUACCUCUACUGAACUAUGAGGAAGUUUUCAUCAACAGCUAAUGCCUAGAGCUCUGCUUUUGAUUUUUCUUUUGCACAUAAAGAAGCAGAAGAUGAUUGACAGUGAGUGCAAAACAGCCAACACAGGGAGUGAGCUUCCUCAAGUCUUCUGCAGCCCAAAAGAUUUCCUCUGGAAGCCUCACUAGGAGAGAGAAGAGAAGCUGUGAGAGGUGUCUUAAAGGAAAAAAUAAUGCAUUUAAGUUCACAUGAGGUCAGUGCUUAUACUAAGUCAAGGACUUUUUAGCUUCUCACACUGCCCUGCCAGCAAGGAGACUAUGGGUGCGCAAGGAGCUGUGAAGGGACAGAACCAGAACAGAGACUCUGCCCCAGAGACUCACCGGGUCACUGGUUCCCAGGAUCCGCUGCAGAGCCCUCUGAAUAGGUGUGGCGUAUAUUGGCACCCCUCCACUCUGUUGCAGGGGUCAUCAGUAGUGCCUGGCUGGACACCUUGACCGGCAGUUCUGCUGUUUUGUGUGUGGAGCCCUUUGGGACUCUUUGGUGAUGCCAUCUGUCUUGGUGACUUACUCUUGGCUCACUGACAUCUUCCUGAUCUAACACUUCCCAAACAUCCUAUUCUGAUGUGUCUGCUACAAAGACUGGGGAAGCUCACACGCGUCUUUAAUUCCAGGUGAUCUGUAAAUGUAUUUUUAGCGUAUUUAUUUCCUGUUUCCUUUUGACCAAGCAUACUUUUGUGGAUUUUUUUAUUGACGUUGAUGAAACUAUGUUUUUAAAUGCCAGAUUUAGGAAGGUGAUACCUGAUCAGUCCAAGAACUUCAUGCUUUUUACUGUUGUGUUUUUCUUUUUUGCUUAGUUUUGAAAUAAAGCACAAGAUAUGAGCUCAUAUAAAGAUAUGGCUUAUUUUUUUUGUGUUUUGUUUCGUGGAGGAUUGUUGGGUUCUCUUUAACCUCUAGACUACAUCCAAAUGGGUUCUUUUGGAUUUUUUUGCUUUGU